CAGUCGCCGCGGUAAAACGGAGGGAGCUAGCGUUGUUCGGAAUUACUGGGCGUAAAGCGCGCGUAGGCGGUUACUCAAGUCAGAGGUGAAAGCCCGGGGCUCAACCCCGGAACUGCCUUUGAAACUAGGUGACUAGAAUCUUGGAGAGGUCAGUGGAAUUCCGAGUGUAGAGGUGAAAUUCGUAGAUAUUCGGAAGAACACCAGUGGCGAAGGCGACUGACUGGACAAGUAUUGACGCUGAGGUGCGAAAGCGUGGGGAGCAAACAGGAUUAGAUACCCCCGUAGUCCCUGUCUCUUAUAA
rnacentral:rRNA from 1 species